ACGCUGGCGGCAUGCCUAACACAUGCAAGUCGAACGAGAUCUUCGGAUCUAGUGGCGCACGGGUGAGUAACGCGUGGGAACCUACCUUUUAGUACGGGACAACGUUUGGAAACGAACGCUAAUACCGUAUACGCCCUCCGGGGGAAAGGUCAGCCGCUAAAAGAGGGGCCCGCGUCUGAUUAGCUUGUUGGUAAGGUAAUGGCUUACCAAGGCUACGAUCAGUAGCUGGUCUGAGAGGAUGAUCAGCCACACUGGGACUGAGACACGGCCCAGACUCCUACGGGAGGCAGCAGUGGGGAAUAUUGGACAAUGGAGGCAACUCUGAUCCAGCAAUGCCGCGUGUGUGAUGAAGGCCCUAGGGUUGUAAAGCACUUUCAACGGUGAAGAUGAUGACGGUAGCCGUAGAAGAAGCCCCGGCUAACUUCGUGCCAGCAGCCGCGGUAAUACGAAGGGGGCGAGCGUUAUUCGGAAUUAUUGG
rnacentral:rRNA from 1 species